GACAGAGGGUGCAAACGUUGUUCGGAAUUACUGGGCGUAAAGAGUGUGUAGGCGGUGCUCUAAGUUCGGUGUGAAAUCUCCCUGGCUCAACUGGGAGGGUGCGCCGGAAACUGGAGUGCUUGAGCGUGGGAGAGGAAAGCGGAAUUCCUGGUGUAGCGGUGAAAUGCGUAGAUAUCAGGAGGAACACCUGUGGUGUAGACGGCUUUCUGGACCAUAGCUGACGCUGAGACACGAAAGCGUGGGGAGCAAACAGG
rnacentral:rRNA from 1 species